GACGGACAGUUCGUGGUUCUGUUAUGCUGUUUUUGUGAGCUGUUCUAGGUUGUUUUACGUGUGUGUUGUUAUUCUUUGGUUAGCAUGUCGAAAUGUACUAUUGUAUUGUUUAUUUGUGUACUUCUAUGUCCCAAAUGCUCUUCUGUUUGUACUGUAUUCCUGUCAUGCAAUGUUGUCACUUCAGUGGUAUAUUUAUCAUUGACAUAAAGCGCGAGGUUUGGCUAGCCACAAAACCAGGUUCAACCAACAAGUUGUUCUUAAAAUGUCCUGUACUAAGUCAGGAAAAUGGAAGUUGUCCUAUAGUUCGCAUCGGUGUGUGUUACAUUGUCUUUUGUUUUUUGUUGAAUCGUAUUGUAGUAAGAGGCUCCAACAUGAC
rnacentral:lncRNA from 1 species